AGAUUCCUCCCACGAUCCUCCUAUCGAACCUCCUCUCGCAGAAACCCAUCGCUCCCCCUCCCCAGCACGCAUCCGUCCCCGGCGCCCCCAUCCCCUCCUCCUCGCGGCGCCGCCUCCCCAUCCCGCCUCCUCGCCACGCCGUCUCCUCCCCCCACCACAAACAACACGCCGCCUCGCCUGCCCAUCCCGUCCAACCCACGCCGUCGUCCCGUCGCCGCCACAUCGUCGUCGUGCGUUAUCCCGCCGGCCACUCGCCGCCUCCCCAUCCCGCUAAACCCGCGCCGCCUUCUCCGGCCGUCAUCAUCCCGCCGCCGCCACAUCAUCGCCGUGCCCGAUCCCGCCAGCCACUCGCCGUCGCCGCCACCCGUCGCUCCUCCUCCCCCACCGCAUUAGUUCAUCUCACCCCCAACCCCUAUUGAUCUCGCUUCUCCCCACCUCAACGCCUCCCCAAUCCCUAUCGCGCCAAUCCCCGGCAUGACAGCCCCCAGCCAAUGCUGCACCUGCAUCUACUGCGCCGCUUCAAUUCCCGGUGACAUGGGAACCGGAGGGGAACUUCCCGCGUCCGCCACGGAUGGUCCUGCACGAAUCGCUCGACGGUGCUGGGGUCUCCACCGUGCAUGCCAGGGCGAAUGGCGAUCCCUCCAUCUCCACCGCGACGCCGGCGACGAAUCACCUCAUCUCGCCGCCGCCCCUUCACUCUCCCCCACCUUUUGCUGGUGACAAUCCCACCUUCGGCACCACGGGAUCCCUCUCCACCGCGCCGCCAUGGAUCCUGCAUCUUCCGCUAUCCAUCACGCCGCCACUGGGACUCCUCGCCCCCGCAAGCCAUCGAUCCCGCCUGUGACAAGCUUGCAGGAAGGUUGAGAUUGAUUCUGAAUUGUUGCCAAGCUGCAGCAGGCCCAAUUUUUUUCCAUAAGUUGUUGGCAUUUUUGCAUCUUAAAAUGAUAUGAUCUGCUGAUUCUAGGGCAGGGCACAUUGAGCAGUGGGGAUUGUCAUCCCAAUUCUUUUUUACCAUAUUAGCUUUGGUGUUCAAUCUGUCUCUGAAGGCCAGCCAUAAGAAAACUUUACAGUUUUGUGGGAUUGUGUGGAUCCAGAUACAAUCAGCCGGUUUCCAAAGGGAUCCAUGGUAUGUCAGCAGCUGAUAAGCAUUCGCAGUUGAGAUUUUAGGUGCAGGGAACAGGAAAUUCCUUGUGUCUGUUACCUCUGAGAUAUUAUGGGCGUCAGUACUGAGAUCAGUUCCACAGCUACAGCGCGCCCAAGGUCAAUGAAUGCUGAAAGUUUAAAAAGAACAUUACAGAUCUGUGAUGCAACGUUAGUUAUGUAAAACAGAAUAAUUUUCAUUUAAAUAAGCUUUGCAUUAAGUUAUAAACUAAUAUUUACACUAAUUUUCAUUUAAAUAGCAGUUCGAUGAAGUGCCAAUCUUUCAUUGUAUAUUCUAUGUUCGCGAGGUGGUCUGUGGUUGGCGCGACUAGGUGGAACGCGACGAGGGUCGCACCCAACUCCUUGCGCAGCAUCCUCGCUGAGCCAUAUCAUAUAUGAACUACUUCGCCUUGAAAGGUAGUUUUCAUAAUCUACCAUUGUUGAUGAGCCAACGUCUAGGCUGGAUUCAACAACGGCUCUCAGGAUAAUUUAAUUCAGCUUCUACAUCAUAUAGCUAAGGGAUUAGGAUUGGCAAUUGGAGCUACCCUCUUGGACAUAAAAAAAUGCAAAAACUGUACCUUCAGUUACAGUCAUGAGUCAUGGCAUUCAUGCUAGCAGGAGGAUUCUUUGUAAAGUGUAGAUAGAAGUUCUUCUAAAAAAUUCAGUUGCAGGGGAUGUCGAAUUUUCACUUUGUACUGUUUGCAGGGGACCUUCACCCUUCUACUUAUACUAAGGUAAACCUUCCAACAAUGGUUUUUGAGUUUUUCUGCCAUCAUGAUCAAUUAAGAUUUACAUUACUUGAUGUUAGCAUUAUAGAUUCGUGUAUUUAUUUCCUAAUUCAUAUCAUUGGUCUUUCCUCAAUGCAAAUCACAGUUCAGGAUAUUUUGUACCUCAUAUUGUGAUUUAAUGUUCAGAAGACUAUUAUGGUAUAUGGGUACUUGCUCUAAUAUAAUUUUUUUUUCAAAUUAUACGUCGAAGCUACCAUAAUAUUGCAGAUUGCUCUUUCAUCUCAUCCCGAGUUUUUGAUUGGUGCAAAGUGAUUAGUUAGGUUAUUUUCUGACCAAUGCUGAUAAAAUUGACGUGUACACUCUUUUAUGAAAUUAACAGUUCAUAUUAUUGUAGCCUGCAGUGAUCCAAAUAGUUUGAGUCAAUACAGGCACAAAUUUAUUUGUAAAGUGGCUGAUUUCUAGAUAGGUUGGCAUAUUGCUUUUCGAUAUUUAAUCAGUAUACCUAAAUGAAAUGGUUCAUUGUGCCCAAAAAUGUGUACAUACAAUUUGUUGUACAAUAAAUUCCUUUAUCCAAGUAAUAUUGCUCUAUGAAGGCUGAGAUUAAAUUGCAGCUGCUUUCUUGCACUUGUAUUGCUGUGCAUAUAGUAGAUGAAAAGAAGAAGAUUCAGAAAACUAAGGCCAGCUAUGAGCCAGAAAAAGCGGUCAAGAUGGCCUUCAUUCAAGUUAUCAGGGAUCCAACCUGGAUUAUCAUUUCGAGUUGUCAAAUAUGAAACCAGGGUCAGUAUGAAUGAACUAAGAUAGCUUCCAAGCGACACCGUAACAAGAGCGAAAGCGGAGCACAAGCUUCUCAUGCAAUCUGGAGACUGAUUGUAGAAGAACUCGGCUUGGCCAAUGGCUGUGAACAUAUCCUUAUUGUUUCAAAUUUCAAACUGUAUUAUGUGAUUUUCCUUUUCUUUAAGUACAUUCUGACAUUUAAUUGUCAGUGUAUACAAACAGUUAGUCUUGCUUUAAUGCAGAAGUCCAUCAAUUGGCAUAUAUAAUCUGUUUUUAUAAUAAAAAGGGAUAUUGCAUAUUAAAUAAAGCAUCUUAUCAGAUAA